rnacentral:tRNA from 1 species
GGGUCCGUAGCUCAGUUGGUUAGAGUACUACCUUGACAUGGUAGGGUCACCAGUUCGAAUCUGGUCGGACCCA